ensembl:snRNA U6 U6 spliceosomal RNA
GUGAUUACUUUGGCAGCACAUAUACUAAAAUUAGAACAAUAGAGAGAAGAUUUGCAUGGCCUCUGCCUAAGAACAUUCUCUGCAAAUCUGAGAAGCAUUCCAUUAAA